rnacentral:rRNA from 1 species
CAACUUUCAGCAACGGAUCUCUUGGCUCUCGCAUCGAUGAAGAACGCAGCGAAAUGCGAUAAGUAAUGUGAAUUGCAGAAUUCAGUGAAUCAUCGAAUCUUUGAACGCACCUUGCGCUCCUUGGUAUUCCGAGGAGCAUGCCUGUUUGAGUGUCAUUAAAUUCUCAACCUUAUCAGUUUAUUUCUGAUAGUGGCUUGGAUGGUGGGGGUGCUGGCUCCUUUAUUGAGGUCAGCUCCCCUUAAAUGCAUUAGCUGGUG